UGGUGUUUUGUUGGGUUGUUUUGUUGGUUUUGUUUGUUUUUGCUAAUGUGCAAAUAUUGAAGCCUUUCACAGGGUCAGAUGAAAGGGUCAACACAAUAAAUAACUUUCAGUCUCCACAAGGAUGGCAGGGAAACAGUACAAGACAAACCUACUAAAAUUCCCUUCCCUGAGCUGUUUUUUCAUAGCUA